ensembl:lncRNA
GCAAAAAUAACAUGCAUAUUUUCCAAUGGUGAAAAUUGUACCACUACAAGCAAAGUUGACACAUAUUCCGUACGGAAUUCCCAAGGCCGUUGGUGUGUGUUUACAGUACGCGCAUAUCUUUGUCCCGAGUGUCACAAACAUAUUUUUUUAUUAAUUGCAGAGCAAGUUUCCCCCUGAAGCAAAAGCUAUGCCUCGUAUGAGGAUGCCUGAGGAGAUAGCAGAGCACAGGGGCUGCAUAUUGCAACGCAACGGACUGAUUGCCGAAUCGAUCUGAGCGUCCCGUUAUGGGUCUUCCACAGAAGAUCGCUGAUGGGAUGUUGCCUCGACGCCACCUCGGUUGUGAAUGAUGCCAAUAAAACGCCCAGAGGUGAUCAAUGACGGGAAAAGAACCCGCCCAUACUGUCAGUGCCAGGGUGAUGUCAUCUGAUCGUCAACCUCAAACACGGGCGCUGAGCCACACGGUACAUUUUCA